CAUACUUUUAAAAUUCCCAAUAACUGAAGAGCGCAUUCGUGCAAACACUUAAAAAUGAAUUCAUGAAAACUAAGUAAACGGGAACAUUCACUUCUCCAGUCACACUGGCCACGUUCCAAGGGCUCCCAUGCAGCAGGGGGCCGCCAUAUUGGAUUGCAGCUGUGGAGUUAGCCUUGAGCUGAAAGAAAACACAGAAGAUACAGUCAACUGACACCGUGAGGAAAUAAUCAGGCAGAUUCAGAGUACACUGCAUGGACUCUUUGGGCCCUUUGAAGAACUCAGGCUUUACAAAAGUUAACCUCAUGAAAAAUUAAAGGACAAGUCAACAUCCACGUGAACGUACACAAUGGUCCCCAGGCAGAAAAAGAUUCCACUGAGCCAACAGAUAGCUGUGAUUCCGUUAGUGGUAGUGAAAGUCGUCCUACACAACAACCCUCCUCUCUCUUGUCUCCCUCACACCGGCCACGAAGGUUUUCAAAGUGACUGCUUUUCACCUGGCCACUUCAGCCAAAUUACUCAAACGGGAGCCCUAUGCAGAUGCACAGAAAGCAUCCUGGAAAGAGAAAAUUUUUACAAGGAGAAAGGGAAAUGAAUCCAGUAGAGAUUCUAAUAUGCCUUUCUUCCUAGCCACAGGGGAAAGCAUUUAUAUCUUCUCAAACAUAAUUACCUUCCUGGUGUUUAAUGAAUACAACUUUAAUUCAUGCCAUCCAAUUGAAAUCUGCGAAAAUUCCAGACAUGGGGGAAACUUCCUUCUUGCAUUUGUUGGUCUGGUAUAUAAAAGUAAAGCUUUAAAUGUCUAGAGAUUAUUGAUUUGGUUGUUUACUUGGAGAAGUCCAGUGGGGUGUCCUUUGAAGCAAUUACCUAAAGUAGCUCAACAUGUCUAGCAAAUAUAAAAACAAGC